UACGGGGGGGGGCAAGCGUUGUUCGGAAUUACUGGGCGUAAAGGGCUCGUAGGCGGCCAACUAAGUCAGACGUGAAAUCCCUAGGCUCAACCUAGGAACUGCGUCUGAUACUGGAUGGCUUGAAUCCGGGAGAGGGAUGCAGAAUUCCAGGUGUAGCGGUGAAAUGCGUAGAUAUCUGGAGGAAUACCGGUGGCGAAGGCGGCAUCCUGGACCGGCAUUGACGCUGAGGAGCGAAAGCCAGGGGAGCAAAGCGGG
rnacentral:rRNA from 1 species